AUGGCUCCUGCCUGGACCAGGGGCGCCCGCGCGGUCGCGCCGGCCGUGCUCCUCGUGGCGGCGCUGCUGGUGGCGCUGGCGCCGCGGGGCGCGAGCGCGGCGCUGUCGUGCUCCACGGUCUACAACGAGCUGAUGCCGUGCCUCGGGUACGUGCAGUCGGGCGGGGCGGUGCGGCGGGCGUGCUGCUCGGGGAUCAAGACGCUCGUGUCCAGGGCGCGCGCCAGGCCCGACCGCCGCGCCGCCUGCGCCUGCCUCAAGACCGUGGCCGCCGCCGCGGCCGGCGGGCCCUACCUCGGCCGCGCCGCGGGGUUGCCCGGCAGGUGCGGCGUCCAGCCGCCCUUCAAGAUCGACCCCAACGUCAACUGCAACGCGUACGUGACACCAAAACAAAAGGCAUAA
rnacentral:rRNA from 1 species